CUAGUAAUCGUGGAUCAGAAUGCCACGGUGAAUACGUUCCCGGGCCUUGUACACACCGCCCGUCACACCAUGGGAGUGGGUUGCAAAAGAAGUAGGUAGCUUAACCUUCGGGAGGGCGCUUACCACUUUGUGAUUCAUGACUGGGGUGAAGUCGUAACAAGGUAACCGUAGGGGAACCUGCGGUUGGAUCACCUCCUUACCUUAAAGAAGC
rnacentral:rRNA from 2 species